UGCCGCUGUUUGCCCCGGUCACGAUAAUAGUUUUGCCCCGCAGCAUAUCGACGCAUUUAUCAAAGUGUUUGUAAUGGGGAAAAUCUGCUUCUCUGCUGAUCCUUCUGGGGCCAUCAACAACGUCCAGUUCAUGGACAGGGCACAUGAGCAGCGAUUGUCCCGAGCUCCUGGGCACCCUCGAUGUGAAACAUUUGAUCAUCAAAGAAGAUGUGAGGCCUGAUCUUAUGAAGGAGAGGCCCCUUAGGAGCCCCAGCCAAAAAGAGGGCCUCAUCUACCUCCAAGCCCCAGCUCCGUAGGGUCUUCAGGACGCGGGCCCCAGCGCUGGCGGCACUUCGAGCUGUGACCAAGAACAGAAAAGAGAAGCUGAAGCAAACGAUCCUGCCGUGGCACUCUGGGUGAACUCAUCACGACCGUUCUUGAACGGGAUCUGACAGGCUGUGGCUCGGCUCUCAGAUUCUUCUUUUCCAUCUCCCCAUCAUGACAGCCAAGCAGGGAGGCCCUCCGUUCGCCUCCUUCACACGAUGACUCAUUCUAACCUUGAUACUCUGGGCCAAUUCCCCAGACUCUGGGCUUUCCCCUGACGGGACAAGCCAGCGGUGUGAUCCGUAGAUUCUGUGGGUUCUGCCAGAAUGGCGAAGAUCCUUUUGGGUUUUGGAACCGAAACGAUGAAUCUGGUUAUGUAAGAGUGCUAGAAGUGAUAUAGUUGUUUUGGGCCCUUUGAGUAGCUCACCGAUGUAGCCUGAACAAGAAUGUCAUCUAAACAUAAAUAAAGCGCUCUGACCCUGAACUUUGAACCUGAAGGCGACUCCUUUUUCUCUCCACUAAAAAUAUACAGAGCGUUUGAAGUGCCUGGCGGGAAACUUGAUAAGAAAUUGGCUUAAGGAGCCGGGAGUGUGUGGGAGUGUGUGAAAGCACGUUGAGGCUGAAUGCAUCCACUUCAGACCAAACAACUACCACUAGCCAUUAGACCUGAGAUGUCUGAAGUGUUAGAGAAAAUCUCGACUGCUGGUCAUCCAUCCAGAGGUGUAGGACAGACGGAGGCCAUCUGGUUCAUAACCGGGGCUACUCGUCCCUAUAAUAAUGUCCUGUGUGUUUAGAUGAAUGAAUGUGAGAUGGAGUGCUCAGUAUACAUUAACUGUUGACAUGAACUAUCUGUUCUUAGGAAAAGUAAGCAGGGAGUUUGCAUAGACAGUCGAAGCAGUUCUAUGGCAUAUAUAUAUAUAUAUAUAUAUAAUAGCUAUGGAAAAAAUUAAGAUUGAUUUCUGAACUUGGAGUGGUCUCUUAAUUUUUUCCAUAGCUGUGUAUAUAUAUAUAUAAUAUAAUUUUCCAGAUGGGCUUUUCUGAGUAUUUCUGAAACUGCUGAUCUACUGGGAUUUUCAUGCACACAUAGGAUUUGCAUGAAAUGCUCCGAAAAAGAAAAAAAUGAAACUGAAAGAAAGGCAACAAUAACUCAAAUAUCCACUCAUUUCAACUGAGUUAUGCAGAAGAGUAUCUCUGAAUGCACAACAUGUCAAACCUUGAAGCAGAUGGGCUACAGCAGCAGAAGACCACACUGGAUGCCACUCCUGUCAGCUCAGAAUAGAAAGCUGAGGCUAUAAUUCACAUGGGCUUACCAAAACUUUGACAAUA